UACGUAGGGUGCGAGCGUUAAUCGGAAUUACUGGGCGUAAAGCGUGCGCAGGCGGUCUUGUAAGCCAGAUGUGAAAGCCCCGGGCUCAACCUGGGAAUGGCAUUUGGGACUGCAAGGCUGGAGUUUGGCAGAGGAGACUGGAAUUCCUGGUGUAGCAGUGAAAUGCGUAGAUAUCAGGAGGAAUACCGAUGGCGAAGGCAGGUCUCUGGGCUAUAACUGACGCUCAUGCACGAAAGCGUGGGGAGCAAACAGG
rnacentral:rRNA from 1 species